GCUGGUCGCAAGCCCGCCCCUACCCGCUAAUCACCUGGCACCGAGCUCGAAGCGGCGCCGAGUCGUUCGCACGCGGAGAGGGAGGGUAGUUAGAGGGCCAUCCUUUUCUGCCGUUAUGGAUUUAAACCCAUAAAGAGGAAACGAGAAACCAGAGGCUCAAAGCUAAGGAAGCUCGCACCUACCGGCUUAACUUCGCACGCCUCUCCAGGAGCCGGGAACCAUCGCCCUUGGGCGCUCCCCGAUGCACGCCGGGAUACGCCUGGCGCCCCUCGGUGUGCUGCAGAGCAUGCCGGGAAAGGCACCUCUCCCGAUCUCCUGGCGCUCACCUCCCGGGCGUUCCUUUCGUGUCCCCUUGAAAGCCCGGUCCUUGGGCUUGGAAUGAGACGGUUUGGGUAAUUAUGGGAGUGUGGCGAGGCUCAUGCCUGCUUUGGUCAGUAGAAUACAGCUGAAGUGAUGUUGUACCAGUUUUGCGUCUGGUCUUUACAAGCACUGGUAGCUUCAACUUUCUCCUUCUUGGUACUCACCCACCAUGUUGUAAGGAAACCCAAACAGCCACGUGGAAGACAGUUCUAGUUGAGCUCCCAGCCCAGAGCCUAUCCCAACUCUCCAGCCAUACCCUGACUUCCUUCAGCAAAGAGACAGCUUCUGAUUCAUGUUCGUCUCACCAUAAUCAGUCCUUGAAGGCUCACCUAUCCUCGUGGCUGCAGCCAUUUCCCUCUCUGCAGAUACUUCCAAAAGUUACACUAGAUGUUAACUGAGCACUAAGGACACUACGUGAAAGACUGGAGUACAAACAUCCAAAGGACUGAAGAAUUUGAAGAGCACUGAAUGUGGGAGAUAGGACAGAGGAAAGGAGUCAAAUGUCUCCAAGAAACGAAGCCUGUGUGCCCUGGAGAAUGAAGAAGCAUCAUCAAAUCGGGGAGACUGAAGGAGGAAUCGGUUUUCAGAGAAAAACAAUUUAUAUUGUCUUAGCUGUGUUAGGUGGCAUACUAUUACAUUCAAGUGAAGCUGUGUAAUAGACAGAGAUGACAAAUUUUAUUCAUUUAUGAAUGCCCCCCAAAAUAUAUAUAUAGUUUUUGCCCUCAUGUCUCUUAUUGGGAUGACAGACAUAAAUCAAAGAAUUCCAUAAAUAAAUAUUAAAAUACAAUUUGUGAUAAAUGCUACAAA
ensembl:lncRNA novel transcript